rnacentral:rRNA from 1 species
CAGUCGCCACGGGAAUACGUAGGUGGCAAGCGUUGUCCGGAAUUAUUGGGCGUAAAGCGCGCGCAGGCGGAUCAGUUAGUCUGUCUUAAAAGUUCGGGGCUUAACCCCGUGAUGGGAUGGAAACUGCUGAUCUAGAGUAUCGGAGAGGAAAGUGGAAUUCCUAGUGUAGCGGUGAAAUGCGUAGAUAUUAGGAAGAACACCAGUGGCGAAGGCGACUUUCUGGACGAAAACUGACGCUGAGGCGCGAAAGCCAGGGGAGCGAACGGGAUUAGAUACCCCUGUAGUCCCUGUCUCUUAUACA